AACCCUUUGAAGCUCUUCAAGUUCCUUUUCAGUGCGUUCCUUCAUGGGGAAGUUCUUCACCUCAUUUUCUGAAUGAAAGGCCUGGGGGCAACGAAGAAAACACAAAGACACUGACACUCGGCAGCUGUAUAGUAUUUCUAGCAGUUACAGCUCACCUUAGCCUGCUGCAGACAAGCGAGCCGUCCCUCAGGCCAGUGGUGAUGAGGGUCUGACUGUCUGGGGUGAAACAAACAGAUCCGACUCCAUCCUGCCAACAUGAGUGGCACUGCAGCUGCACAUACCUGUCCUGCAUGUCAAAGAUGCGCAGCAGUCCAUCCCUGCCAACUGUUCCCAGCCAGGCUUGAUGUGGUGAGAGCUGUAGAAAUGCAGGGCUCAGAAAAUGGCCCCCCGCCUCCAUCUCUGGUAUAAGGACACAUGAGCAAAGUGCGUGAGGGAGCUCGUACAAACAGCUGUGAAGGACAUCUUUACGCAGACGGCCGUGGACAUCCACACAACUUGUUGAGUCUGGAAGUGGCACAACAUUAUGAUCAUUUUUCAGCAAAG